CUGAACCAUCUCUCCAGCCCCCUAAUGACUCUUGAAUUGGCAUUUCAUUUGUUUCUUCCCCAUAAUGCCUAGCUUAUUUUGCUUGGAUUUCUUCUCCUUAUGCUGUAGCUCAAUGUCACCUGAGACAGAAUCACCACAUUUGCUUUUGUCUGUUGGAUAUCUUGAGUCUCAUGCUACCUCUUAUCCCAGUAUCAGAAACCGCUGUGUGGCUUUGUUGAGGGUGCGAUAGCAGCCUGCUCAUGCUAGAUCAAGGGCUUUGGGUUGGGUCUCUAUGUUGGGGCCAUUGCUUGGACUUUCUCAGUUAAUUCCAUGACAGACUACAGCUCACAUCUGGGCCCUGGUAACAGCUGGCCCACAGCACAUACCUACAUAAAAUACUAGCCUGUCUUCCUUGGAGCUCAGGGGGACUGAAGCAGGUUUCCUUGUUUUCAUAGUGGGAAAAUAUCUCCUAAUGGAGUCUUUCCCCAGCCCCAUCUUCCCAAAUGAUCUUAGCUCUAACUCAUUAGUUGAGCCUAAGGGCUUGGUUUCCACCUCUGGUUUUAAGACAAGAAGUUUUUGUUUAGGAACCAGGAUACAGUUCUAACCUAAUGUGGUUAAGUGUCUGGUGUUUGUUUGUUUGCUUUUUGUUUCUUUUAUCUGUUACUGGUGGUUUCUAAAAUUUCCUUGCAAGUGUGGCUCUUUUUGAGUUGAGAAGGCCUCUGUUGUAUUUUACCCAGCAUCCUUUUGAAGUUUUCUAACAGGAGGGCGGGUGGCACUGGAGCCUUUUCCUCUAUGUAGAAACUCUGCUCAUCCCCUCCACCCCCACUUCCCCAACCCCACUCUCUCUCCAGAGAGUAACAGGCUGCCAAAGUGGUUAGCCUAAGUUGGCAAGGUGGGCCCAGUGAGCAGGUCAAAGGAGAAGGCAAAAGUGUUCUCUGAGACAAGCAGUGAGGGCCAGCCUUGGAGGAACAGGUCUUCAGUGAGAUGAGCCACCAACUGCUUGAGUCCGAUACUGCACCAGGCGUUCGGGAACCCUGAGGUUUCAGGAGUGUUGGGACCGGACCCAAUAAACUGUCCCCUACUGCUGUUCAAGGGUAUAGUCUGUCGUCAGCAGCACAGAUCUUUGGGAGACUCAGAUAUUCUCUUUAGAUGGGAGAUAUUUUUGCCCAUGGCAGCUUAAAGGACGCGAGUGUGGGUAAGUAGAGGCUUGGUGUUGAGUGGCUCACCGAGGGAACUGCCCAUGAGAGUCAUUUUACCUACCCAGAGUCCGUCUGGCUAGGCUCCAUCACCCACUUGUAGUGGCAGAGGAGAAAAGUAAGUUUGAUUUUCCACAUCGACUGGAAAUCUUUCAAGGGGCUCUUCUUAGGGGCUUAACUGAGGUGUAGCCGAGGAACAGCACUCAGAGCCUCUUGGGGAGGGAGGAAUCUGCAGAUACUUGCUCGGAACUUGAAUGUGUUGGCAAGUGGGAAGCCCCCUUUGGCCUGUGGAGGCUUUCUGCAGGGCCUGGAAUCCUCUGCUCUGCAUUCUGGUGUCUUCACCCUCCUGUGUGGCUGCCGCAUCUUCACGCCGCCGUCAAGUGGGUCCUUGAAUGAGAAUGGCUUGAAGAAGUUAGAACAGUGUCAGGACUCUGCAAAAACCCGAACAACUGGGGAGAUUUUGUGCAGUGCCAUCGGGCCUUCCUGAAAAGCAAGGUGGUUGGUGUUGGGUAACUACCCACGCGAAGGAGUGCGAAUCGCAACGGGAGAAGCGAUGAGCGUUGUUAAAUUAGGUUGGUUUUAGAAGUAAAAUAUUUUGAUAAAUCACUUUUUCUGUUAUAAUGAGAUCAGCUACUUAGGGCUUAGGAAUGGAAAAUUCCAUGACGCUUAAUAUGAACUUGAUUAGAGAACAUCUUUUGUGCCAGUAAAUCUCAGACUCAUGGAAGGACUUGGGGGUUCUGAGAGUUGUGUGGAUAGCUUCUUUGGAACAGCUGUGCCCUGCUGUUUAGCUUCUUCCUACCCUCCAUCUUUGUGACGCUCCCCGAGCCUUCGGAACCUUCUCGGGCCGAAAGGACACAUGAUGUUGCAGUGUCCCGACCAGUCAGACCCGGUGAGUGGUGGAGCAAGGCAGCCGUCAGCCAGGGGACACCUUUUGCAGUGGCUGUCGUGUGAGUCACUCCCCACCCAGUGUUCUCUUGCACUGGAAAAUGGCAGCUCUCUGUCCUCAGAGUGGCAAAUGCAGCUGGUUUAAAAAAAUUUUUUUUUUCUUUUCUGUUUUUUUGGCAGACUUAACGCCUUUCUGCAAAGAAGAUGAACUAGGAUUAGAAGAAAUCAGAUGUGUGUACUUGAGUGAGCAGUUUCCUCUAUCGUGUUUCUGCUUUGCCAUGGGCUGAUAUGAUGCCACCAGCUGACCACGGAGUGAGACACUUCUACAAUUUUUUCUUUCAGAAAGGAUAUCUCAAUGAAUUUGGAGCUCGUGAAUUUGGUUUGGCUGGCUGUCUGGCCAGCGAGCUUCUGGGAUCCGUCUACACCCCAGCACCAGGAUUAUUUACGGGCACAUGCCGCCAUGCCGAGCCUCUAUGUGGGCGCUCGAGAACCAGAUCCAGGCCAUUUUGCUUGCUCAACAGUUAUUUGGCUCACUGACUCAUCCCCCAGUCUCAGCAAGGGUCUUCUUAGGAUAAGUCUCAACAUGGAAACCAGGAGAUCUACAGAAAUUAUGCGGCACAAAAGAAGUGUGGAGAUCCCAAAGGCUCCGUUUCCCAAAGGGCACUGCUGUGUCCUCUGACCAUGGUAGAAUGCCCUCAGAGGUUAAGCCAAGGCAUUCACAUCUGUAGCCCCAGAAUUUUGAGGUAGAAGCAGGAGGAUGCUAAUCUCAAGGCCAGCCUGGGCUACACAGGGAGUCCUUGCUUCCAAACCAAACAAAGAACAAACAAACAAAAACCCCUCUAUGCUUGGAAGGUAAACAGCAUAUUUGAAGGAGAAAUAAUAAAUUAGGAAAAUCUAGAUUGAGGUAAUUUGGGGGUGUACUAUAGAUACCUAAAUAUGUGGGACGCAGUGCAAUUCAAUAGAGGGAAAUGUAUGCCUUGACAUGUUUCUAACAGCCCGGUGUCUGACCGUAAGCAUCGGAAAAAGUCACAGGACAAACUCGAUGGAGCACGAUGAAAAGAAGAAUGAAGAUAAGAGCGGACACACAAACAACAGAAGACUGGCUGAAGGGCUGGCAGAGACCUAGAGAAAAGGACGAGGUCCUGCCCCUGCUGACUCCUCCCAGAGUCCUCUAUGCACACCGAGCCCGAUACAGGUCUCUACCCAUUCUCCUUUCAUCCAGCGAGGAUGUUUUUCAUCUUGAGACUCCCUCCCUGCCCUCGUUCUGUGGGCAGAUGCCCUGAGGACCCAGAUGAGACCUGGAGAGAUCAGGUGAGAUCCAGAUGGAGCACUGGCAGGGUUCCACUCAAGGCCAGGCCCUGCUCUAGGCAAUCACGAUCUGAGAGCCUCGCUGGCCAGGUCUAUUGGCUUCGCACAGGAAGACCGCAGCCGCUCGCAGCGAAUCAUCCCUGCAUUCUCUGCUCUGCAACCUACAAUGUUUAUCUGGCCUUUCGAGUCCUCUCCGUUACAUCUGUUUACUAACUUCUAUUCAGCUACUCUGCUGACUUCCAAGAAUGGUCUGCAGCAGCAUUCCUCCAGAGGGAAGGAGACUCAAUAUCAGGCACUUGGCAUCUCUUAGCGUGGUCCAGUGUUGGUCCCAGCCUUGGACAAGCCAGAUCUGUAUCCCCAGCUGCUCUGACCCUUGGCCAAGAGCUCAUGAUGCCUAUUUGGAGAACCAAAGAUCUCAAGAUCUCUGUUCCACUGAGGUCCACAUGCCCUGAAGUCCACCUGCUUCUAAGGUCUGCCUGCCUUGAGGUGUAUCUGUCAUCAGGUCCACUUUCUCCCUAGGGCCAUUUGUCUUACCGGGUCCAACUCCUCUCGGGUCCACCUUCCCCGAGGUCCAUCUGGGCUGUCACUAGUAUCAAUGCAGGAAGAAAAUUGUGGAAGGUGGCAGAGGGGAUGGAAAGGGCAUGAGCCUGGGAGAUGGAAGGAUUUUAAGUCUCCAUUUCUUAAAACUGGUGAAGUGGAGAUAUAUUUUCCACCACUGGGCUUUCAGACUCCUCCUCUAGGGUGAUGCCAGCAUUCCUCAGAAUGACAGUGGAGAUACAAUGUGUUAAUGUCUAACAGAGGGUGGUCCCGUGACAUAGAAGAAGCUCUGGCUUCUGGGCAGUCCUUCAAAUACUUUUGCUUGCUUUCUCUGGUUUUUAAGCAGGUUUCCAAACUUCCAGCAACUUUGAACGGGAUACAUUGUUGCAAGACUCUGAAGCCUCCUCCCUCAGAUACAGCCAGGUACACAUAUAGUAAUGAGCCCAGUACACUAUAGUAGGAUCCAGGGAUACAAAGUAACAGAAAUGAAGCCAUGGAGGAGUCAGACCCUUAUCACCAGCUGAGCUAACCCUUUCCAGGAGGUUACUCAGCUUCCCACUUCCUGUCUCCAUACAUCCCACUCAACUUCUCACAUCUUGUCUCUGUAAUCCUCUGUCUUUUUCCUCUUCUUUUUUUAAAGAUUUAUUCAUUUUAUUUUAAUGUAUGAAUGUCUUGCAUGCAUGCACAUCUGUAUAUCAUCUACACGCCAGGUACCCACAGAGGUCAGGAGAGGGUAUCAGAUACCCUGUUACAGGCAGAUCAGCGGCCAUGUUGGCACUGGGGAUUGAACCCUGGUCCUCUGCAAGAACAACAAGUGCUUCUAACUGUUGAGCCGUCUCUGUAGUCCCAUCCUCUGUCUUCUGUCUGCAGACACCAGCAGAAUGGCUGACUCUCAUUCUGGCAAGCUGUCUUGGUCUUUUGGUAGCUGUCGGCCAGAGCAGGCACCUCAGGUCUUGCUGGGAACUAGACAAGAGGGCAACAGUUGGCUUGCUGGAGCUGACACCUGUCUCGGCUUGCCUGACCUCUGGUGUGUCCCAAGGGGCCACACACCAGCCCAUAUUAGAAACCAGAGAGGAAGGCAGCCAUUUUCAUCAGGGCUCAUGGGACCGUUGGUCUUGGUAGAAUUGGUGAAGCUCAGCUCUGUGUGCAAGCAGGGCAUUUCCAGCGAGGACUGACAUGUGAGAUGGUGACUUCGGACGGGCACUGGUACCCACCGUCAGUAUAGGUCACACCUUCCAGUGGGCUGGAAGCAGGGAGUAAAAGCCAGGCGAAGACAGCUUAGGUGUAUGUACAGCUUUCUUUCUUGAAUUCACGAGGCUGCUACCAUUAGACUCCAGCUCUUUCAAUCUUGCAGCUUGGACUCAACAGCACUGACUCUCUAGGGAGCUUCCAGGUUCUCAGUACCAGACAGGGACUGCCAAGACGUCCAGCUUCUUUGACUGGAGAGCUACGGGGUUCUUAGUCCCUUGGGCAUGCGCAUGGACAUUGCUGGAUUACUACCCACUAUCAUGGAGCCAAGCCAACAAACUCCAUUUUACAAGAGGUGUAUGUAGUCUAAUGGUUCUGUUCCUCUAGAAUUUCCUGCCUAUAACAUCACCUCUUCCCUGACCGGUGUCACUGGGAAGAAGUCAUCUUUGCCCUGCCUUGCUAUUCGCACCCACCAUGGUUGGAAACCUUGAGGUCUGUUCAUGGAGGCCAGCUGAAGGGAAUUUCCGCAAGCGCAGGCAGGUUCCGUGUGCUUCUGUUUUAUAAGCUCUGCUUACCUUUGAAAGUGGAGCUUCUUAAAGCCAACCCUUAGGGGGACGUGGCCUUGACUUCUCCACCAUUUAUGUGCAAUGAUAACACUAAAAGCCAACUCAGUCUGCAGGUCUAGGCAGAUGUAAUUAGGAUAAUUGUCCCAUGUUCCCAUGCUCCUCUUCUUGAAAGCUCAAAGCACUCCGAGAGCAUUAUCCAAUUAAUUCUGGAUAUAGAUGGGUGAGAGAGGUGGGGACAGGCCUGUCUGCUCCAUUCAUGGCCGGGCCGCCAUAGCACUGACAGGUUAAGUGACUUGCUUAAGGUCCCACAGAGCUGAGAACUGAGCCCUGUCCACAGCUCUGUGACAGGAUCGGCGUCCUCACUGAAGCUUCGACCACAAGCAGAGCUCUGAAGUGCAGGUACAAAGGCUUCGUAUGAGUGGCAGCAAUGUUCCUCUAACAACAUGUCAGUUUCUGACUGCCGCCCACGCACCCUGAGCCUGCUCCUGAGAUUCCCUCUGUCUGGGCCUGGCUUACUGGAGACAGGGAUGUGAAGACAGUUGAAGGGGUUGAUUAGUUACUGCAGCUGAGAAGUGGUGGUGACCCGGACAGCUAACCAAGGCAGAUACACUUUAUGGUUUGCAAAGCAAAUUAACUAUGAAGAAUUACCUCCUUUUUUGAGAAACAAUCAACAGAGUCAUAAUUGUUUAAGUAGCUCUCUUGAUGGUGUGGUUUUAUGAGCUGGGCUCUGCUGAAUUACAAACAUCUUAGCCUCUUUGGCAGACAAGCAGUGAGAUCCUUAGAUGCUUUGACCCCCGAGUGCUAGGAUGGAAAUGGCUCGUGGGAACUACAGAAGUUCUGUAGGGUCUGUGAGGGUCUAUGCAGAGGGUGAGGUGGUGGUAGGAUGCUCCCACUGAUGGCUACUAGAUGCUCUAAAGAAUUCUGGGGUCAUGUUUGAUAAAGGUAAGACACUGACGAUAGGUUGUAGGAUCUCUGGAGGGUGCUGGGAACGUUGUUUAUGAUGGCGUGUAGAGAGAUUCCCAGGAUGCAUUAUUCUUAGAAUGUAUUGGACAGCGGCUUUGCUGGAAGAUUCUCUCCACUUUAGACUAGACCCAGGGGGUCUAGUUGGAAAGAUGAGAGCACAGGCCUCUCUGGAAAUUUUGGGGGAUUCUUCCACAUCCAAACCCCAGGAAGAAUCCUUAGGGGAUACAGUUGAUCAGCUAGAAGGAACCAAGGACCAGCCCCCAUAGGCUAUAUGCAAAUUCACUCACAUCUCUUUUCUUUUUUUCGGAGCUGGGGACCGAACCCAGGGCCUUGUGCUUGCUAGGCAAGCGCUCUACCGCUGAGCUAAAUCCCCAACUCCACUCACAUAUCUUGAGAUAUAGGUGACAGCCUCUGGACCUAUGGCAAUGAGUCAAAAUGGAACAAGAAACCACAGUGCUCCAGGUUCUUACUGUUCUAGCAUUUGCUGCCUUGGGAGAGGACAGGCGUUGUUCUUCAAGUCCCACCACAGUGACUGCAUUAACAUGUGAGUUCCAGAGGGGUCCAGGAAGUAGACAGUGGAGGUGGAAGUGGGGGCUGAGGAAGGCUGAGGAUACAGGACGACUCCCAAAAGAAGGGGCAGCUUGGGGUAAUCCUGAAGGGAAUUGCCUAUGAAGGCUUGUGUCCAGGUGUAAGUGUUCAUGUUCAUGUACGUACAUGUAUGCAAGUGCAUAUGUGUAUGUGUGAAACUGUGUACCUGUGUAUGUUUGGAUGGGUGUGUGCAUGUGUGUG
rnacentral:sRNA from 1 species